rnacentral:rRNA from 12 species
CCCUGUCACUAUCACUUCUUGCACUAUGCAGCUCAGCAUGGCCCAGCUCUCAGAUGCUAAGCAGGGCUGUGCCUGGUGAGUACUUGGAUGGGAAACCAACUUGGAAGACCAGGGGCAGAGU